UCUUUAGACCUGUGCAAUGGUGUUUUAGGGCACCGUGUCAGGGUAGGAAUACAGCAGCACACCUUAGCUCGCCAUGUGCCGCAGGUAUCUGAAGGGGA
rnacentral:SRP_RNA from 1 species